rnacentral:rRNA from 1 species
GGUGACAGGUGGUGCAUGGUUGUCGUCAGCUCGUGUCGUGAGAUGUUGGGUUAAGUCCGGCAACGAGCGCAACCCUUAUUACUAGUUGCCAGCAUUCAGUUGGGCACUCUAGUGAGACUGCCGGUGACAAACCGGAGGAAGGUGGGGAUGACGUCAAAUCAUCAUGCCCCUUAUGACCUGGGCUACACACGUGCUACAAUGGCGUAUACAACGAGUUGCCAACCCGCGAGGGUGAGCUAAUCUCUUAAAGUACGUCUCAGUUCGGAUUGUAGGCUGCAACUCGCCUACAUGAAGUCGGAAUCGCUAGUAAUCGCGGAUCAGCACGCCGCGGUGAAUACGUUCCCGGGUCUUGUACACACCGCCCGU